UACGGAGGGGGCAAGCGUUAUUCGGAAUUAUUGGGCGUAAAGGGCGCGUAGGCGGCUAGAUGUGUCAAAGGUGAAAUCCCUCGGCUCAACUGAGGAACUGCCUUUGAAACUGUCUGGCUUGAGGCCGGGAGAGGGUAGCGGAAUUCCCAGUGUAGCGGUGAAAUGCGUAGAUAUUGGGAGGAACACCAGUGGCGAAGGCGGCUUCCUGGCCUGUUCUUGACGCUGAGGCGCGAAAGCUAGGGGAGCAAACGGG
rnacentral:rRNA from 1 species